rnacentral:rRNA from 2 species
GCGUCGGUUUUCACCC